UUUUGAGGUGAGUUUUCCUUCUAUUCAUUUUUCCUCAGUUUGCAGAGUGGCCAAAAGCAAGUUGUAUUGGGAAAAAGAGAAAAAGAGAGGAGAGAAAGAAGGAAAGAAAAGAGAAAGAGAAAAAAAAAGGGAAGAAAAAGAAAAAAAAACGAAAAAAAAAAAAAAAAGAAAAAGAGAAAAAAAAAGAAAGGAGAAAAAAAGGGGGUGGGGGAAGGAAACAAAUCAAAAAGCAAAACAAAACAAAAACAAAAACAAAAACAAAAACAAACAAACAAAAAAAGAACCACCGGGGAGUAUCUUCUGAUUCUGUGUACUUUAAGUCCCUUGGCUUCUCCUGGAAGUUGUCCGUCUAGCUGGUGUUCUGGGGGAGGGGCCUGCUGUGCUGAUUUUCAGGUGUUAGCAGUUGGGGGAGCUGCUGUGCCCCUGCCUGGUGCAGGGCUCAGUGGGGUUGUUUACCCCGUGAGGCCGCAGGAGGAACAGCCCCAGUGGCGGGGCAGCUCUGGAAACCUGGAUUCAGUCCCCGCAGUAACUCCAGAGCUCUCCGUCUGCAGGGCCUGGAGGCUCCGGGCGGGGCCGCUGAUCUGCUCAGCUCGGGGCAGGAGCGUCCUUGCUGUCCUGGGCCCUCCCGGCCUCUGCCUGUCCCGGGGGAGGCGGGAUCCUGGGCUGUGUCCCGGCGCCCUGUGCUCCGGCGCCUGCGCUGGUGGAUUCGCGCUCCCGGGCCGCGCAGCCCCCUCCGCGGAGCUGCCGCCCGAGCCCCUCCGAGCUGCUCCUGGAACCGCGCAGCCCCCUCCGCACGGAGCCUCUUCUUCUGCCCGAGCCCCUCCGAGCUGCUCCCGGGGCCGCGCAGCCCCCUCCGCGCAGCCCCCUCCGCGGAGCCGCCGCCCGAGCCCCCCGAGCUGCUCCGGGUCCCGCCGUGCGCGCUGCAGCCCUUAGGGAGCUCGGCGCACUCUCCUGGGCGCGCAGUUGCUGUUACUGUCCCCGGGAGCCCGAGGGCAUCCCCGCCCUCCUGGGUCCUGCUCCAACUCCCCGCGAGCCCCUUUCCGCCCGGGAAGGUCGGUGCAGCUCCUGCGUCUCCGGGACGGGGCUCUCCUGUCCUGGGGACACUCGCCCCGGCCUCAGCCCGGCUCCUCGCGGGGCCCCUCCCCCUUGGAGGCCUUUGUUUCUUUAUUUCUUUUCCCCCGUCUUCCUACCUUGAUAGAAGCGCGAACUCUUCUCACUGUAGCAUUCCAGCUGGUCUCUCUUUAAAUCUCAGGCCGAAUUCAUAGAUUUUCAGGAUAAUUUGAAGGUUUUCUAGGUAGUUUGGUGGAGACAGGUGAUUUGGAGACCCUACUCUUCCGCCAUCUUGCUCCUCCCCUAUUGCUUGCCAGUUUUAAGGGUAUCAUAAAG
rnacentral:lncRNA from 1 species